AGCAAGAUGCUGGAGCUGUGGGGAGUAGCUCAGUGUGCUAACUGAAUUACAGUUACAGGUGUGGAGAGUAGCUCAGUGUGCUAACUGAAUUACAGUUACAGGUGUGGAGAGUAGCUCAGUGUGCUAACUGAAUUACAGUUACAGGUGUGGAGAGUAGCUCAGUGUGCUAACUGAAUUACAGGUGUGGAGAGUAGCUCAGUGUGCUAACUGAAUUACAGUUACAGGUGUGGAGAGUAGCUCAGUGUGCUAACUGAAUUACAGUUACAGGUGUGGAGAGUAGCUCAGUGUGCUAACUGAAUUACAGGUGUGGAGAGUAGCUCAGUGUGCUAACUGAAUUACAGGUGUGGUGAGUAGCAAGAGGUUUAGAAGAGUUAUUUGUUCAGGCAGUUUAAUGGUGUCUGUGUGCAUGCAGUGAUUCGUUCAGGCAGUUUAAUGGUGUCUGUGUGCAUGCAGUGAUUCGUUCAGGUGGGUUAAUGGUGUCUGUGUGCAUGCAGUGAUUCGUUCAGGAGGGUUAAUGGUGUCUGUGUGCAUGCAGUGAUUCGUUCAGGUGGGUUAAUGGUGUCUGUGUGCAUGCGGUGAUUCGUUCAGGCAGUUUAAUGGUGUCUGUGUGCAUGCAGUGAUUCGUUCAGGUGGGUUAAUGGUGUCUGUGUGCAUGCAGUGAUUCGUUCAGGCAGUUUAAUGGUGUUUGUGUGCAUGCAGUGAUUCGUUCAGGUGGGUUAAUGGUGUCUGUGUGCAUGCAGUGAUUCAUUCAGGUGGGUUAAUGGUGUCUGUGUGCAUGCAGUGAUUCGUUCAGGUGGGUUAAUGGUGUCUGUGUGCAUGCAGUGAUUCCUUCAGGUUUAACGGUGUCAGUCUUCCUUG